UACCAGCACCCCGAGUGGUCGGGACGAUUAUUGGGCCUAAAGCAUCCGUAGCCGGUCCUACAAGUCUUCCGUUAAAUCCACCUGCUUAACAGAUGGGCUGCGGAAGAUACUAUAGGGCUAGGAGGCGGGAGAGGCAAGCGGUACUCAGUGGGUAGGGGUAAAAUCCUCUGAUCCAUUGAAGACCACCAGUGGCGAAGGCGGCUUGCCAGAACGCGCUCGACGGUGAGGGAUGAAGCUGGGGGAGCAAACCGG
rnacentral:rRNA from 1 species